UACUCUGUCAUGAAGAGAGCAUUUGAUGAAUGUUGUAGAAGCGUCAUCGCUAAAACGAAUCAAAACAGCUGCUAGACAAGUUGUGCGCUUCUGGAGGACGUUUGCGGAUGGAUUAAUGCUAAAGCCAUUGUUCCAGUAUGGGCUGAGAGCCUAAGAUGACUUUUAACAGAGGUGUGUGGCUUGUGCCUGAUUCUGACACUACAUUUUUAGCCAAUUAAAUAGUUUAAUCAGUUCUGAUCAUUUAGUAUUCUGCUUCAGGGACGGACAUCUUCCUCGCAGGCGGCUCAGAUCAUGUUAUGGUUGUAGAGCUGUGAAGUUUAAGACAGCCGAGUCUAUGUUUCCCAGUGCAGAUCGAAGCUCUAAGUAGGAGGAACAAGAGAAUGAUAGAAAUAGAUCUGUUAUGGUUCAGAGCAGAACAGAUUUAGAUUUAAGUAUGUGGAUCUCAUCAACAAAUUGAACAAGUACAAUUCCAAAGUUUAACAUCUUGGGGGUAAUGGCGGAUGGGAGUUAUAGGUUGCUGAAACGAGAGCGCUGAAGAAGGAUUUAACAAAUAAGGUGCAAGCUUCAUUUCAUAAACAUUAACACACAGUCUUUGCAUUGGCUGAUGGAACAAGCUUUAUUUUUCUUUGUGGUUACAUGAAUCUACUUGCUACUGGUUCGGGUUUGGUUUUGAACAUGUUUCUGAGAUUGACCUUGACAAAGAUCCGCUAAAGAAGGACGGUUCUUCUUGAACGCCACGUCAGGGAGCAAUAUAUUUUUCGACAAAGAGACUAAUGCAGGGGAGAACAUUGAUUGUGGGAACAUCUUCAAGUGGUCUCACCUCCAAAAGGUGGACGUAAGUGGUAAGAUCGUUGGAAAUCAGCAACUGUGAGAACAUCUUCAAGUGGGCUCACCUCCAAAAGGCUAGCAAUAGCAACUACCAAGGUGACCAAGAAGGACGAGUGGCUUAAGUGAAGAUGAUGAAUUACCUGGAUGCAGUACUUUUUGAAUAAUGCUUUGUAUCGAUGUUGUUUUUCUUAUUUUUUUUAACCUUUGAGUACUCUAAUGGGUUUUGAUAUGGUUUGAAACUCUCUAUAAAAUGCUUAUUUAUCAAA